rnacentral:rRNA from 1 species
UACAGAGGGUGCAAGCGUUAAUCGGAUUUACUGGGCGUAAAGCGCGCGUAGGCGGCUAAUUAAGUCAAAUGUGAAAUCCUCGAGCUUAACUUGGGAAUUGCAUUCGAUACUGGUUAGCUAGAGUGUGGGAGAGGAUGGUAGAAUUCCAGGUGUAGCGGUGAAAUGCGUAGAGAUCUGGAGGAAUACCGAUGGCGAAGGCAGCCAUCUGGCCUAACACUGACGCUGAGGUGCGAAAGCAUGGGGAGCAAACAGG